AGCAGUCGAUGAUGCUUUGUCUAUUUACCUACAUUGUUUGAAUAUGAAAUGAGAACACUCACACUAUCUGAGACCGCU